CCUACGGGAGGCAGCAGUAGGGAAUCUUCCACAAUGGACGAAAGUCUGAUGGAGCAACGCCGCGUGAGUGAAGAAGGGUUUCGGCUCGUAAAGCUCCGUUGGUAGUGAAGAAAGAUAGAGGUAGUAACUGGCCUUUAUUUGACGGUAAUUACUUAGAAAGUCACGGCUAACUACGUGCCAGCAGCCGCGGUAAUACGUAGGUGGCAAGCGUUGUCCGGAUUUAUUGGGCGUAAAGCGAGUGCAGGCGGUUCAAUAAGUCUGAUGUGAAAGCCUGCGGCUCAACCGGAGAAUUGCAUCAGAAACUGUUCGACUUGAGUGCAGAUGAGGAGAGUGGAACUCCAUGUGUAGCGGUGGAAUGCGUAGAUAUAUGAAAGAACACCAGUGGCGAAGGCGGCUCUCUGGUCUGCAACUGACGCUGAGGCUCGAAAGCAUGGGUAGCGAACAGGAUUAGAUACCCCAGUAGUC
rnacentral:rRNA from 1 species